GUCCUUUAGGUAAUUAUAAUUUAAGGUCUAACCUGCCCAUUGAUAAGUUAAAAGGCCGCAGUAAUUUGACUGUGCAAAGGUAGCAUAAUCAUUAGUUUUUUAAUUAAAAGCUUGUAUGAAUGGUUGGACGAGAUAAAAUCUGUCUCUUUAUAAAAAAUAGAAUUUAAUUUUUAAGUUAAAAAGCUUAAAUUUACAUAAAAGACGAGAAGACCCUAUAGAUCUUUAUAUAAUUUUUUUUUGUAUUAAUAAAGAAAUUUUAAUUUAUUAAAAAAAAUUAUAUUUUAUUGGGGUAAUAAAAAGAUUAAUUAAAUUCUUUUAUAAAAAACAAUAAUUAUUGAUUAUAUGAUCCAUUAUUAAUGAUUAUAAGAUUAAGUUACCUUAGGGAUAACAGCGUAAUUUUUUUAGAGAGUUCUUAUCAAUAAAAAAGUUUGCGA
rnacentral:rRNA from 1 species